GACGAACGCUGGCGGCGUGCCUAAUACAUGCAAGUCGAACGCAGUGGGGACGGGUGAGUAACACAUGGGUAACCUCCCAUCAGAGGGGAUAACACUUGGAAACAGGUGCUAAACCGAUACUGAUGGAUGGACCCGCGGUGCAUUAGCUAGUUGGUGAGGUAACGGCUCACCAAGGCCACGAUGCAUAGACGACCUGAGAGGUUGAUCGGCCACACUGGGACUGAGACACGGACCAGACUCCGACGGGAGGCAGCAGUAGGGAAUCUUCGGCAAUGGACGAAAGUCUGACCGAGCAACGCCGCGUGAGUGAAGAAGGUUUUCGGAUCGUAAAACUCUGUUGUUAGAGAAGCGGUAUCUAAACAGAAAGCAACGGCUAACUACGUGCCAGCAGCCGCGGUAAUAC
rnacentral:rRNA from 1 species